rnacentral:rRNA from 1 species
GAUGAACGCUGGCGGCGUGCCUAAUACAUGCAAGUCGAGCGAACAGACGAGGAGCUUGCUCCUCUGACGUUAGCGGCGGACGGGUGAGUAACACGUGGAUAACCUACCUAUAAGACUGGGAUAACUUCGGGAAACCGGAGCUAAUACCGGAUAAUAUAUUGAACCGCAUGGUUCAAUAGUGAAAGACGGUUUUGCUUUCCCUUAUAGAUGUAUCCGCGCCGCAUUAGCUAGUUGGUAAGGUAACGGCUUACCAAGGCAACGAUGCGUAGCCGACCUGAGAGGGUGAUCGGACAAACUGGAACUGAGACACGGUCCAGACUCCUACGGGAGGCAGCAGUAGGGAAUCUUCCGCAAUGGGCGAAAGCCUGACGGAGCAACGCCGCGUGAGUGAUGAAGGUCUUCGGAUCGUAAAACUCUGUUAUUAGGGAAGAACAAAUGUGUAAGUAACUAUGCACGUCUUGACGGUACCUAAUCAGAAAGCCACGGCUAACUACGUG